rnacentral:rRNA from 1 species
UACGUAGGGCGCAAGCGUUGUCCGGAAUUAUUGGGCGUAAAGAGCUCGUAGGCGGUCUGUCGCGUCUGCCGUGAAAACCCGAGGCUUAACCUCGGGCUGGCGGUGGAUACGGGCAGACUAGAGGUAGGUAGGGGAGAAUGGAAUUCCCGGUGUAGCGGUGAAAUGCGCAGAUAUCGGGAGGAACACCGGUGGCGAAGGCGGUUCUCUGGGCCUUACCUGACGCUGAGGAGCGAAAGCGUGUGGAGCGAACAGG